AGGGUGAAGGGGUUGCAAUAAACUGGUGGCUGCGACUGUUUAAUAAAAACACAGCACUCUGCAAACACGAAAGUGGACGUAUAGGGUGUGACGCCUGCCCGGUGCCGGAAGAUUAAAUGAUGGGGUGCAAGCUCUUGAUUGAAGUCCCGGUAAACGGCGGCCGUAACUAUAACGGUCCUAAGGUAGCGAAAUUCCUUGUCGGGUAAGUUCCGACCUGCACGAAUGGCGUAACGAUGGCCACACUGUCUCCUCCCGAGACUCAGCGAAGUUGAAGUGUUUGUGAUGAUGCAAUCUACCCGCGGCUAGACGGAAAGACCCCAUGAACCUUUACUGUAGCUUUGCAUUGGACUUUGAACCGAUCUGUGUAGGAUAGGUGGGAGGCUAUGAAACCGGAACGCUAGUUUCGGUGGAGCCGUCCUUGAAAUACCACCCUGGUUUGUUUGAGGUUCUAACCUUGGCCCGUGAUCCGGGUCGGGGACAGUGCAUGGUAGGCAGUUUGACUGGGGCGGUCUCCUCCCAAAGCGUAACGGAGGAGUACGAAGGUACGCUAGGUACGGUCGGAAAUCGUGCUGAUAGUGCAAUGGCAUAAGCGUGCUUAACUGCGAGACCGACAAGUCGAGCAGGUGCGAAAGCAGGUCAUAGUGAUCCGGUGGUUCUGUAUGGAAGGGCCAUCGCUCAACGGAUAAAAGGUACUCUGGGGAUAACAGGCUGAUACCGCCCAAGAGUUCAUAUCGACGGCGGUGUUUGGCACCUCGAUGUCGGCUCAUCUCAUCCUGGGGCUGUAGCCGGUCCCAAGGGUAUGGCUGUUCGCCAUUUAAAGAGGUACGUGAGCUGGGUUUAAAACGUCGUGAGACAGUUUGGUCCCUAUCUGCCGUGGGCGUUGGAUAUUUGAAGGGGGCUGCUCCUAGUACGAGAGGACCGGAGUGGACGAACCUCUGGUGUACCGGUUGUCACGCCAGUGGCAUCGCCGGGUAGCUAUGUUCGGAAGAGAUAACCGCUGAAAGCAUCUAAGCGGGAAACUCGCCUUAAGAUGAGAUAUCCCUGGAGGCUAGACCUCCUUGAAGGGUCGUUCGAGACCAGGACGUUGAUAGGUCAGGUGUGUAAGCGCAGUAAUGCGUUCAGCUAACUGAUACUAAUUGCCCGUAAGGCUUGAUCCU
rnacentral:rRNA from 1 species